CAGGUCCGUUAUCUAAAGAUUAUAGAAAAGAGCGGUUACCAAGCCCUUCCUUGGGUUCGUUACAUUACACAAAAUGGAGAUUACCAGUUGAGAACGACAUAAACGAGAAAGACGUCUUUCUCUAAAUACCUCUUUUAAUGUAGUUAAAUUUACACGUAGAAAGCUGUCGAUUAAGAAUUUAAAAAAAAAAGAAAAAAAAAAGCCAUGCCAUUGAUCGGUGAAGAUUCUACUUGCUCUCUCGCAUCAUCUUGUAGCAGAAAUGCUUGAUACUCGAGCUUUUUGUUAGUAAUUUUGGUGCAGUGCUGUCAAAUUGUUUCGACGGACUAGGAAGUGAGAGUUUUUUUGUUCUAUCGGAGAAUCAGAAUAAGAAACAGUCAAAGUGCUGUUAUGAAUUAAAAUUGUCAAGAAAUCGUACUUCUUCCCCGUCUUUAUAAUUAAAGCUAAUUCUGUCGUGUUGGCACGCCUUGAAGUUUCCUCUGUCGUCGCUCGUAAUCCGUCCCAAUCUUAACCAUCGUUGUCCUUUUUUGUUUGUUUAUUCGAGGUUACCUUUUUUUACAAGAAAAAUUUGACUUCUUACAUGUACCUCUUAACAAAAAGGUUUAUGGAGUUAAUUCGACGAAUUUUAUGCUCCCAAAAUUAGCCUAAUACUCUCAAGAUGAUGAUUUCCGUUUAUAAAAUACAAGUAGAAAUAGGUUGAAACUGGUCACUUACAAAAACAGGCAGUUAUAUGAUGUAAACCAAUAGUUCUAUACGUGUAGUAGUGGAACCCAAUAAAGCUGUGUUUUUCUUA